CCGUGCGAAGGUAGCAUAAUCAAUAGUCUUUUAAUUGAGGACUUGUAUGAAAGGUUGGACGAGAAACAAACUGUUUACUUGGAUAAAAUUUGAAUUUAACUUUNNAGUGAAAAGGCUUAAAUGAAACAAGAAGACGAUAAGACCCUAUAAAUCUUUAUAUUAUUCUUAACUUUUGAAAACUAUAUAAGUAAAUUUGAUUAAGUUUGGAAAGUAUUCUAUUGGGGCGAUAUGAAUAGAUAAUUAUCUAUUCAAUGAUUUUACAAAAUAUUUUUGAAUUAAAAUUUAAGAUCCUCUUUAGGGAUUUUUAGAUUANNUUACUUUAGGGAUAACAGCGUUAUUUUAUUUGAGA
rnacentral:rRNA from 1 species